GAUUUCUGCGCUUGACGGCUUAUUGUUGAAACCGCAACAGACCGUCACGGACAACACGUCURCGUAUCAUUCCUGUGCAGCAGCAGCAGCGACGACGUACACACCUCAACUCGACAUCCAUAUAUCACCGACCGCAGCCUUCGCAGAUUCUCGAUACCCGAUCCGACUUCGCAGAUUGCCGYCCGUCCGUAAUAAUAAGAGAACUAACCAUGUCCUCUAGCUGCACGUCGAAAACUACCGACUACUACUACCAGAUGAGGCAGAAGAACAACGAGGCGGCUAGAAACAGCCGUUUCAAGAAGAAGGUUGCUGAAAUCGAAAUAUCCGUUCAAAAGCGCAAGUUGGAGGUGACAUACGUGCAGUUGAAGAAGGAGAUCAAACGCAUACAAAUCGUAAAAGCUUCUUAAACAUCAAUCAGGCUUUUCCCGUGAUCAUGGUUGCAAUAUGAACAAAAAAAUUUUUUUCAACUGAAAAUUUUAAGUAAAAUAAAUUAUGCAAAUGGAUUCUGUUGAAUUUCUAGUCAAAUACAUUGUACAACACUCAAUAGUUUGACUGUAAUUUCUACAGGAAUGAAAUACAAAUAUAAAAUUUUUACUACCAAUAUCUAUUAUGUAAAAGACAAUAUUU